AUUGAACGCUGGCGGCAGGCCUAACACAUGCAAGUCGAGCGGAUGAAGGGAGCUUGCUCCUGGAUUCAGCGGCGGACGGGUGAGUAAUGCCUAGGAAUCUGCCUGGUAGUGGGGGAUAACGUCCGGACACGGGCGCUAAUACCGCAUACGUCCUGAGGGAGAAAGUGGGGGAUCUUCGGACCUCACGCUAUCAGAUGAGCCUAGGUCGGAUUAGCUAGUUGGUGGGGUAAAGGCCUACCAAGGCGACGAUCCGUAACUGGUCUGAGAGGAUGAUCAGUCACACUGGAACGGAGACACGGUCCAGACUCCUACGGGAGGCAGCAGUGGGGAAUAUUGGACAAUGGGCGAAAGCCUGAUCCAGCCAUGCCGCGUGUGUGAAGAAGGUCUUCGGAUUGUAAAGCACUUUAAGUUGGGAGGAAGGGCAGUAAGUUAAUACCUUGCUGUUUUGACGUUACCAACAGAAUAAGCACCGGCUAACUUCGUG
rnacentral:rRNA from 1 species